rnacentral:rRNA from 1 species
CUUAGAGAGCUUGCUUUUUAAGCUUAGUGGCGAACGGGUGAGUAACGCGUGAGUAACCUGCCCUAGAGUGGGGGACAACAGUUGGAAACGACUGCUAAUACCGCAUAAGCCCACGGUACCGCAUGGUACUGAGGGAAAAGGAUUUAUUCGCUUUAGGAUGGACUCGCGUCCAAUUAGCUAGUUGGUGAGGUAACGGCCCACCAAGGCGACGAUUGGUAGCCGGACUGAGAGGUUGAACGGCCACAUUGGGACUGAGACACGGCCCAGACUCCUACGGGAGGCAGCAGUGGGGGAUAUUGCACAAUGGGGGAAACCCUGAUGCAGCGACGCCGCGUGGAGGAAGAAGGUUUUCGGAUUGUAAACUCCUGUCGUUAGGGACGAUAAUGACGGUACCUAACAAGAAAGCACCGGCUAACUACGUGCCAGCAGCCGCGGUAAAACGUAGGGUGCAAGCGUUGUCCGGAAUUACUGGGUGUAAAGGGAGCGCAGGCGGGAAGACAAGUUGGAAGUGAAAACCAUGGGCUCAACCCAUGAAUUGCUUUCAAAACUGUUUUUCUUGAGUAGUGCAGAGGUAGAUGGAAUUCCCGGUGUAGCGGUGGAAUGCGUAGAUAUCGGGAGGAACACCAGUGGCGAAGGCGGUCUACUGGGCACCAACUGACGCUGAG